rnacentral:lncRNA from 1 species
AACAUGGUUGCCCACUGCAAAUUCUAGAAAGUUUUUUCAUUUAAUGGUGUAGCUUUUUUGUCAACUUUGAGUGGCUAAAAGGUUCUUGUAGAUGACAUAAAUCUCGACCAUAGUUUCCUAAACAAGGUUUUAUCUGGAGGGAUGUUUGUUUCAACCUCUGUCCCAACGCAUAGGGGAUCGACAAGGCCUUCCAUACAAGGCUUCGUAAGGAGCCAUCCCAAUACUAGAGUGGUAGCUGCUGUUGUAAGUGAAUUCUACUAGAGGUA